AUUGUUUCAUCUCAGUUGGUAGAGCAUUGAGUUAACAACACAAAGGUCGUGGGUUCAAAUCCCAGGGAAAGCAAUG